rnacentral:rRNA from 1 species
AAUAGAUACCCGGGUAGUCCACGCCGUAAACGAUGGAUACUAGCUGUUUGAGCGCAAGUUUGAGUAGCUAAGCGAAAGUGAUAAGUAUCCCACCUGGGGAGUACGGGCGCAAGCCUGAAACUCAAAGGAAUUGACGGGGGCCCGCACAAGCGGUGGAGCAUGUGGUUUAAUUCGAUGAUACGCGAGGAACCUUACCAGGGCUUAAAUGUAGAUUGACGUAUUUGGAAACAGAUAUUUCUUCGGACAAUUUACAAGGUGCUGCAUGGUUGUCGUCAGCUCGUGCCGUGAGGUGUCAGGUUAAGUCCUAUAACGAGCGCAACCCCUGUUGUUAGUUGCCAGCGAGUAAUGUCGGGAACUCUAGCAAGACUGCCAGUGUAAACUGUGAGGAAGGUGGGGAUGACGUCAAAUCAUCACGGCCCUUACGUCCUGGGCCACACACGUGCUACAAUGGCCGGUACAGAGAGCAGCCACUUAGCGAUAAGGAGCGAAUCUAUAAAGCCGGUCACAGUUCGGAUCGGAGUCUGCAACG